rnacentral:rRNA from 1 species
GUCUAUGGUCAUGCCACCCCGAACGUGUCCGAUCUCGUCUGAUCUUGGAAGCUAAGCAGGGGUCGGGCCUGGUUAGUACUUGAAUGGGAGACCACUUUGGACUACCAGGUGCUGUGAGCG